rnacentral:misc_RNA from 1 species
AAGCCUGGCUUGUCAUUGGACUAUUUUUUGCGGCUGAAAUAUGCAGCAAGUCCGAAAAUUAAUGACGGUGUCGUGUUUGACCCUAAAUGCAACGAGCUUUUUAUAGCACGCAUUGAAGUGGUUAACCGACCUUGGUCUUUAAACCAUACAUUUUUCUAAAGGUUGACCUCGGAUCAGGUAGGAAUACCCGCUGAACUUAA